GAGGAUUGCUAAUUACGUAUUUUAUUAGCUCAACUUGUAUGAUGUAAGCUAGUCACAAUUCAGUUGGCUACUUAAUAAGAAAGUGAACUGUGACUAAACUAAAGCAUGUUCAGAGAAGCCUGGCUUCUUUGGUUCCAUCAAUUAUCUUGAGUUCUUUGUCAUCCAUUGCUGCUGUAGGGAUGUGUCUGCAAUCUAGCUAGUCU
rnacentral:misc_RNA from 1 species